UACGUAGGGUGCAAGCGUUUAAUCGGAAUUACUGGGCGUAAAGCGUGCGCAGGCGGUUAUGUAAGACAGAUGUGAAAUGCCCGGGCUUAACCUGGGAACUGCAUUUGUGACUGCAUGGCUAGAGUUUGGCAGAGGGGGGUAGAAUUCCACGUGUAGCAGUGAAAUGCGUAGAUAUGUGGAGGAACACCGAUGGCGAAGGCAGCCCCCUGGGGUCAAGACUGACGCUCAUGCACGAAAGCGUGGGGAGCAAACGAGGAUU
rnacentral:rRNA from 1 species